UGUGCUGUCCUUCAUUUCCAUCAUCCAGGAGGAGAGAAAACCCUCCACCCCCAAAACAAAACUAAAAAUAAGAGGAUGACAGAAGAGACGAGCGACAGAGCUAGAUCCUGGCGCCGCAGCAGCCGUCCGCGAGCCGCACGCGCAGAGCGGCGAAGACGACAUUUUAUCCACGGCUGAAACCGUAGAGGCGCCGCGGUUCACACAGAUUCAUCUUUCAGAGGCGAACAUGUUGGAUCAAAGUCAAGCUGUUGUCAGCAGGGUCCAAAGUGUGGCCCGCGGGACAUUUAUGGCCAUGGAGCAAUUUAUUUCUUUUAGUGCAGCUCAAGAAUGACACUAAUUUAUGUACUUGACUUUUUUUUAUGUAAUUAUUUCUUAAGCUGCAUUAUGUGACUGUCAUAAACAAUAUGCUUUUUUUUUUUUAGGUCAAGCUUUUCAAUCUGUGAAAAGUUUGAUCAACCAAUUAGAUCCAGGAGGCGGGUCUUAGCGCUGCCAAUCAUCCUGCUAAAUGCGCUAACGUCAGAGAAACAACUCAUCAUUACAAGAAAACUGUUUAUCCACCAUUUAUAGUGACUAUGCUAACUAGAAUUAGCAUUCAAAACAGGCUAAACUAGCUGAAGCAGCGCGGAGGAUGACUGUCAGCGCUAAGACCCGCCUCCUGGCUCUGAUUGGUUGUUUCUGGUUAGCACUGGGAGAAUUCCUCUCGCAAUAAUUUUUGCAGGACGAUAAAUUGUCCCAGAAGUUUUUGCAAUAAACAAUAAUAUCGUU